rnacentral:lncRNA from 1 species
AAUUGUUUAACUAAUAAUAUUUCAAGAUAUUAAUACUAAUAUAUCAUUAAAAACAAAAUACUUACAUCAAUUCAUUGAGAUUUUAUGAGGGUAUAAGUGUCUAUCGAUUCCAACUUUCACAUUCCCUUACAAAACUUAUGAAACAUUAAUGAAAAAUCACUUCUAAUUGCAUUCACAUAAUUGAAUUAAGGGACUAGGGUCAUCAAAACACAAUAGUAAACAUAUGUGCCUUAUAUUUUUCAUCAAAGCACAAUUGCAUUUAACGCAACAAUUAGCUUUCGCAUUAAGGCAUCAUCCAACAUUUUCGGGUUAACAAGACAAUCCCUUGCAAAAAUCAU